rnacentral:rRNA from 1 species
UACGUAGGGUGCGAGCGUUAAUCGGAAUUACUGGGCGUAAAGCGUGCGCAGGCGGUUUUGUAAGCCAGAUGUGAAAUCCCCGGGCUUAACCUGGGAAUGGCAUUUGGGGCUGCAAGGCUUGAGUGCGGCAGAGGAGACUGGAAUUCCUGGUGUAGCAGUGAAAUGCGUAGAUAUCAGGAGGAAUACCGAUGGCGAAGGCAGGUCUCUGGGCUGACACUGACGCUCAUGCACGAAAGCGUGGGGAGCAAACAGG